rnacentral:ncRNA from 3 species
UCUAAUAUGGCAGAUUAGUGCAAUGGAU